GACGAACGCUGGCGGCGUGCCUAACACAUGCCAGUCGAACGGAGACCAGCCUUUUAGACCUUCGGGUCAAAUAGGGGAAGGCUGAGUGGCGGACGGGUAAGCAACACUUGGGCUACCUGGCCCAUAGAGGGGGUUAACCUAGAGAAAGUUCUGCUAUUCCCGCAUAAGCUGACACUGCCGCAUGGCAGGGGGUGAAGAGAGAAUUGCUAUGAGAUGGACCUGCGUCUGAUUAAGUGGUUGGCAGGGUAAUAGCCUACCAAAGAGACGAUGAGUAGCCGAGCUGGGAAGAUGAACGACCACAUUGGGGGUGAGACACGGCCCGAACUCCGACGGAAGGCAGCAGUGGGGGAUAUUGCACGAUGAGGGGAACCCUAAUGCAGCGGCGCCGGGUAAGUGAGGAAGUAUUUCGGUAAGUGAAGCGCUAUCAGAAGGGAAGAUAAUGACGGUACCUGAAUAAGAAGCACCGGCUAACUACGUG
rnacentral:rRNA from 1 species